UUCCCUCGCGUCGCCCAAGCGCGUAGCGGGUGCGCACAAGUCAACGGUCUUGGUCAUAGUCUUGGUCAUGGGUAAAAUGCAAUCUAUAGUGUUGUCUAAUGAUGUCUACAGACCUCAUGUGCCCUCUGCAAGAGAACGGGAGAAAGAGAUAGAGAGAGAGAGAGAGAGAGAGCGAGCGAAUUGGUCCGUGCGUUUCUAAUAAUUCUCCGAGUUAUGGCUCCUGAAGUUGUGGCUGCUGGAAGGAAGAGAAAGAGCCCGGAACCACCGUCUGGAAUCAAUCACGAAGUAUUCUUGAAUUUUAGAGGUGCAGAUACACGUGAAGGAUUCACGGAUCUUCUCCAUAGAGAUCUGCAAAUUGCGGGGAUCGAAGUCUUUAGAGAUGACAAAAAGCUCCUUGCUGGAGAAGAGAUCCAUCUGGGGCUGAAAAAAGCGAUCAAGCAAUCGAGGAUCUCAAUUGCCAUCUUUUCCAAAGAUUAUGCUUCCAGUAAAAGUUGUCUCAUGGAGCUGGUACAAAUGUGGGAGUGCAGACAAUCAAAUGGACAGACUAUUAUCCCUAUUUUCUAUGAUGUUAGUCCUGACGCUGUGAAACACCAGACUGGGGAUUUUGCAACGUCCUUCAAGAAACAUGAGGAUGACAAAGUCGACCCAAAGACCAUCCAAAAUUGGAAGAAGGUUCUUCAACUGGUCGGGGGAUUAAGCGGAUAUGAGCGGGAUAAUAUAAAUGGGCGGCAUGUGACCGACCUGCUAGACAAAGUUAUGACCCGUGUCCGGCAGGAGUUGAAGGAGGAUGACCAAGACGUACCCGACAAACUAGUUGGAAUCGAUCUUCAUGUUCAAUGGAUGAUGACAAAGCUUGAUGUUGUCUACAGCCGUGGACAAGCGAUGAAAGUAUGUGGAGAAGAUAGACGUGUCGUCGGAAUAUGCGGUAUGCCGGGUGUUGGAAAGACUACACUUGCGAAGGUUGUCUUCAACAAGAUCCACAAGUUGUUUCAUGCAUGUAGCUUCCUUAACGGGGUAAAUUCGGGAGGAGUCGAGUUUUCCCAAGAACUGUUGAUUGCUGACCUUCAAAAGGAAAAACGUGAACCACUGAGAUCUUCUGGUAAAGUUAAAAAAUUAAAAAGUCUCUUUACUAACAUGAAGGUUCUCAUUGUGCUUGAUGAUGUGCGUGAAGAUGAACAAAUUAAAGCAUUAGCUGGGGACCUUACUUGGUUUGGUCCAGGAAGUAGAAUCAUUGUGACCACACAUAGAAGAGAUGUUUUAAAGGUUUUCGACUUUGGAGAAGAAGACAAAGAUAGAGCAGCUGCACAAUACGAUGUUAAACCAAUGGAAUAUCAGGAUGCUCUUAAACUCUUUCGUAUGCAUGUUUUUCAAGGGGAUGCUCCCCAAGAUGUCUCCGAGUGCGAUUCCUUAUCCCCAGACAUCGUUGAAGCUCUUGGAAUGCUUCCUAUGGCUAUUAAGCUUCAGGCAAGCUAUUUAAAGAGUAAUAAGGAAAGAAGCAUAUGGCAGAGUAGCUUGAAGUCCUUACAAAAAUACCCACUAGAACGAAAGGUAGAAGCAGCCUUUGAGGCCAGUUACAAAUCUUUAGAUGACUGUGCACAGAAGAUAUACCUCGACAUAGCGUGCUUUUUUAUUGGAAAGGAUGAGAGGAUUCCCCCUUACAUGUGGGAGGAGGCUUGGCAUGGCGAUCCUCUUAGAAUUAUAAAACACCUUCGUGACAUGCAUUUCUUGGAAGAUGGAGAAAAUAAUGAAUUCAGAAUGCACGAUCUGUUGAGAGACUAUGGCAGGAAGCUUGUCAAGGGCUGCAGGAUUUGGAAUCACAGUGACGCACUUUCCAUUCUAAAGGAUGGUCAGUGUACUAAAAUAGUCGAGGGCAUUAGUCUUACGGUUGAAGAGGGUUCCGCCGUGGGCUUUACGUGCGAAGAAUUUUGCCAUAUGUUGAAUUUGAGGUACCUCAGACUGGACCAGGCUAAAAUCCAGGGAGAUAUUACGAAGCUUCCUCCAAAUUUGAGGUGGCUUGAACGAUGUUGAGCUGCCAGAAGCGGGGUCAUUGAAUCAGACCCCAUUUAUUGGGUGGAUCACGAGAUUAACAAGUCUAGAGACCUUGGAAUUGUCCGUUCCAAAUGUCACCAAUCUCCCUGGGAAUUUUUGUGCCCUCACGCAGCUCCGGGAACUCUCUUUAUCCUACAUAAAGGAGCUAGUCCUCACACAACUUCCCUCCUCAAGCUUAUUGACCCUGCGUCUCAAACGCUGCAAAAUUCAAGAGCCAAAAUUUUCUAUUCUGAAAUAUCUGUCAGAACUAGAACUAGAGUACUGCGAUUUAGCAGAGAUUGAUGGUCUUAAAGAUUUAAAGCUUUUAGAAGUCCUGAAAAUUUUUCAACGCAGCAGGAUAACAGACCUUAAUGGGCUCAAAAGAUUAGGACGUCUCAGGAAGGUGCAAGGUUUCUCUUCUGCUCUUGUUGGCCUACCAGAAUUAUCCAAAGGCGUUGAAGUGGACCGAUGUUAUUAGGCUAUAUCCUUAUCUUGCAUUUUCUCGAUCAGUGGCUGGAUAGUUUCUGUCCUGUACGGACCACUGUUGCACUUCGAGUCUUCGACGGUACAUCUCCUUUUAGUCUAAGAAGCAGGAGGGGCCAUAAAACACCGAAGGCAAACUCUUUGCAUCCCGCGAUUGGUAGUGGCAUCAAGAACCUCGCAUCAGAACCAUUGCUGAAGCAUCACCCCGACGUGCUCACAGAUGCACCUGUUAGGACUCGGGGAGAAGGCGGCAGAG